rnacentral:rRNA from 1 species
CUCAGAAUCAACGCUGGCGGCGCGCUUAACACAUGCAAGUCGAACGAGAAAGCCGGAGCAAUCUGGUGAGUAAAGUGGCGUACGGGUGAGUAACACGUGGGUAAUCUACCUCUUAGUGUGGAAUAACCCUGGGAAACCGGGGCUAAUACCGCAUAAGCUCGAGAGAGGAAAGCAGCAAUGCGCUGAGAGAGGAGCCCGCGGCCGAUUAGCUAGUUGGUGAGGUAAAAGCCCACCAAGGCAUAGAUCGGUAGCCGGCCUGAGAGGGCACACGGCCACACUGGCAUUGAAACACGGGCCAGACUCCUACGGGAGGCAGCAGUGGGGAAUCUUGCACAAUGGGGGCAACCCUGAUGCAGCGACGCCGCGUGAGCGAUGAAGCCCUUCGGGGUGUAAAGCUCUUUCGGCAGGGAAGAUUAUGACGGUACCUGCAUAAGCAGCUGCGGCUAACUACGUGCCAGCAGCCGCGGUAAUACGUAGGCAGCGAGCGUUGUUCGGAGUUACUGGGCGUAAAGGGUGUGUAGGCGGCUUUUUAAGUUUGGUGUGAAAUCUCCCGGCUCAACUGGGAGGGUGCGCCGAAUACUGAAAGGCUAGAGUGCGGGAGAGGAGAGUGGAAUUCCUGGUGUAGCGGUGAAAUGCGUAGAUAUCAGGAGGAACACCGGUGGUGUAGACGGCUCUCUGGACCGUAACUGACGCUGAGACACGAAAGCGUGGGUAGCAAACAGGAUUAGAUACCCUGGUAGUCCACGCCCUAAACGAUGCAUAUUUGGUGUGGGUCAUUCAGUUGAUCUGUGCCGGAGCUAACGCGUUAAAUAUGCCGCCUGGGGAGUACAGUCGCAAGGCUGAA